rnacentral:rRNA from 1 species
AUUGAACGCUGGCGGCAGGCCUAACACAUGCAAGUCGAGCGGAGCGGCGGACGGGUGAGUAAUGCCUGGGAAUCUGCCUGGUAGUGGGGGAUAACGUCCGGAAACGGGCGCUAAUACCGCAUACUAUCAGAGUAGCCUAGGUCGGAUUAGCUAGUGGGUGGGGUAAAGGCCUACCAAGGCGACGACACGGAACUGGUCUGAGAGGAGGAUCAGUCACACGGGAACUGAGACACGGUCCAGACGCCGACGGGAGGCAGCAGUGGGGAAUAUUGGAAAAUGGGCGAAAGCCUGAUCCAGCCAUGCCGCGUGUGUGAAGAAGGUCUUCGGAUUGUAAAGCACUUUAAGUUGGGAGGCGUUACCAACAGAAUAAGCACCGGCUAACUUCGUGCCAGCAGCCGCGGUAAUUC